rnacentral:rRNA from 1 species
GACGAACGCUGGCGGCGUGCUUAACACAUGCAAGUCGAACGGUAAGGCCCUUUCGGGGGUACACGAGUGGCGAACGGGUGAGUAACACGUGGGUAAUCUGCCCUGCACUUCGGGAUAAGCCUGGGAAACUGGGUCUAAUACCGGAUAUGAGUCCCGGCCGCAUGGUCUGGGGUUGGAAAGUUUUUCGGUGCAGGAUGAGCCCGCGGCCUAUCAGCUUGUUGGUGGGGUAAUGGCCUACCAAGGCGACGACGGGUAGCCGGCCUGGGAGGGGGCUCGGCCACACUGGGACUGAGACACGGCCCAGACUCCUACGGGAGGCAGCAGUGGGGAAUAUUGCAAAAUGGGCGGAAGCCUGAUGCAGCGACGCCGCGUGGGGGAUGACGGUCUUCGGAUUGUAAACCCCUUUCAGUAGGGACGAAGCGCAGGUGACGGUACCUGCAGAAGAAGCACCGGCCAACUACGUGCCAGCAGCCGCCGUAA